UUUCCGUAGGUGAACCUGCGGAAGGAUCAUUAGUGAGACGAUGGGGCUCUCGCUUCUCGAAGCUUGAGCCUUUCACAUCUUCACCCUGUGCACCGUGACCAUUUUUUCGCUCUUACACGAGUCGAGGAUGUCUCAAUCAUUAGAAAAGGCACAAAAUGAAGCAACGGAUCUCUUGGCUCUCGCAUCGAUGAAGAACGCAGC
rnacentral:misc_RNA from 1 species